AUACUUACCUGCUACGAGGUUCGCUGUGAUCAGGAAGGCAGCGCCUGUUUGGGAUUCUCGACAAUGCACGCCUGCUUCGAGAGCUUCAGAUUCCCUGACCUUUGGGGUCAGAGGAGGUGGAUAAUUUUUGUUUGUGGGAGGGAUCUGCGUUCGCGCUGUCCGCUCCCU
rnacentral:snRNA from 1 species